UACGAAGGGGGCUAGCGUUGUUCGGAAUUACUGGGCGUAAAGCGCGCGCAGGCGGUCCUUUAAGUCUGAUGUGAAAGCCCACGGCUCAACCGUGGAGGGUCAUUGGAAACUGGGGGACUUGAGUGCAGAAGAGGAAAGCGGAAUUCCACGUGUAGCGGUGAAAUGCGUAGAGAUGUGGAGGAACACCAGUGGCGAAGGCGGCUUUCUGGUCUGUAACUGACGCUGAGGCGCGAAAGCGUGGGGAGCAAACAGG
rnacentral:rRNA from 1 species